UUGAACACUGGCGGCAUGCCUUACACAUGCAAGUCGAACGGUAGAGGGGCAACCCUUGAGAGUGGCGAACGGGUGAGUAAUGCAUCGGAACGUGCCCAGUCGUGGGGGAUAACGCAGCGAAAGCUGUGCUAAUACCGCAUGUGAUCUGUGGAUGAAAGCAGGGGACCGCAAGGCCUUGUGCGAUUGGAGCGGCCGAUGUCAGAUUAGCUAGUUGGUAGGGUAAAAGCCUACCAAGGCGACGAUCUGUAGCUG
rnacentral:rRNA from 1 species